rnacentral:rRNA from 1 species
AUGCCUGCACUCCUCCUAAAGCUAGAUAUUGCCAAGGCGUUCGACAGCAUCUCCUUGGAAUACAUCUCCGAGCUCAUCCAAAAAAUGGGCUUCCCACCACGAUGGCGGGAUUGGAUCGCACUCCUGCUCUCGUCAUCUUCGUCGUCCUGCCUCCUGAAUGGAACUCCGGGCGCCUGCAUCACCCAUUGCCGAGGGCUAUGGUAGGGAGACCCACUCUCCCCGCUGCUAUUCAUCAUCUGCAUUGACCCCCUGCAUCGCCUUUUGGAGGCGGCAACCUCGUCGGGCAAACUAUCCCCGCUGCCUGGAAUGGCCGUGUGCAUGCUCACAAGCCUGUAUGCAGACAAUGUUGUGAUCUUCAGCAACCCCGCAAGGACGGAGAUCGAUGCGCUCCUCGAUAUCCUUCAUCUCUUCGGUGAGGCGACGGGCCUGCACGUCAACCUGGCCAAGUCCUCGGCAGUCCCGAUCAACUGCGGUGACCUCGACCUCAACUCCAUCCUGCAGAACUUUGGCGGCAUCGUAGCGUCGCUGCCCAUCUCAUACCUAGGUCUCCCCAUCACCACCGGUAGGAUUUAUUUGGUUCACCAGCAGUUCAUCUUAGAUAGGAUCCGCGCGCAUCUACCUGGUUGGAAGGGCAAACUGAUGCAUAUCACCGGCCGUAAGGUGUUAUUCUGUUGCGUCCUCUCUGCCAUGCCGACGUUCGCUCUCACGGUGCUAAGGGCGCCAAAGAAGUUUUUCAAAGAGGUAGACAAAGCUAGGCGGCAUUUCCUGUGGGCACAAGAUGAAGAGGUGACGGGAGGAAAAUGCAAGGUCGCAUGGAGCACGGUCACCGCGCCGGAGCCCCGCGGCGGCCUCGGCAUUCAUGACCUCGACAAGUUCGCACUCGCCCUCCGGCUACGCUGGCUAUGGCUAUCCUGGACCCAUCCAGAACGGUUGUGGGUCAGCUCGGACAUGCCAUGCAACCUAGAUGAUCAAGCCCUCUUCGCCACCAACACGGUGGUCACCCUGGAGACAGCGCGACAGCCUCUUUCUGGUCUAGCUCGUGGCUUGGCGGCAGGCCGCUCCGCCUGGCCUACCCCACCCUGUUCGCCCGCUCCAUCCGAAAGAACAGGUCCGUCCAUGACGCGCUGCACGAGGGGCGUUGGAUCCUCGAUCUUCGUCACGGCGACCACGGGAGCAUCGUGCACAGUGUGUUUCAGCUGA